rnacentral:rRNA from 1 species
UACGAAGGGGGCUAGCGUUGCUCGGAAUCACUGGGCGUAAAGCGCACGUAGGCGGACUCUUAAGUCGGUGGUGAAAUCCUGGAGCUCAACUCCAGAACUGCCUUCGAUACUGGGAGUCUCGAGUCCGGGAGAGGUGAGUGGAACUGCGAGUGUAGAGGUGAAAUUCGUAGAUAUUCGCAAGAACACCAGUGGCGAAGGCGGCUCACUGGCCCGGUACUGACGCUGAGGCGCGAAGGCGUGGGGAGCGAACGGG